UGGCAACCCCAGCCAGCAGCAGCAACCCGCUUGGGUCCUGUUUUAGGUUGUGGAAGGUUUGUUCUUUGCUCUUGCAAUAAAUCUUGCUGCUGCUCACUCUUUGGAUCCAUGCCAUCUUUAAGAGCUGCAAUACUCACCAUGAAGGUCUGUGGCUCCAUUCUUGAAGUCAGCGAGACCACAAACCCACCAGAAGCAACAGACUCCAGACACAAUGGCACAAUGUGACUCUAGGAGAUAGAGUUCUCUGCCUGCCAUUUAUAGGAGAGGUACCACCUCCAGGGUCUAUUAGAAUUGGGCUGAGAUGUACCCUAGGCAUCGCAAUUUUUAAAAGCUGCUCAGAAACUUCAAAUGGGAAGCUAAAAUGCAGAAGCACAGCUCUAAAAGAGACAGAGUCUCACUCUGUCACCAAAGCUGCAGUGCAGUGGCAUGAACUCAGCUCACUGCAACCUCUGCCUCACGGGUUCAAGCAAUUCUCCAGCCUCGGCCUCCUGAGUAGCUGCGAUUACAGUUGGUCAGCCCAGGAUGGCCAAAGUAAUGUUUUCGCUAACCACAUCCUGUUGGUUGUAGUUUUUCACUCCAGUGCAUAGUGUGAUGACUACGGGAAAACCAAAACUAAAAACAAACAUCUUUCACCUCUAAGAACAUGUGGCCUUGGGUACUAUCGGGAGGCCGUGGAAGCCUAAAAUUUGGAUAUAAUGCCCUGGAUCAUGAAAAUAAGAAACAAAAUCCCAAGAUGCUUCCUUUGGAUAUACCUCAUACCUAAUCCAUUUUGCCACCUUUGCAAUAGCUGAUGUUUUUCCUGGUGUACUUCUUUUUGUUAGGUGAAUUAUCCAUGGAAAACUAAAAAUUCCCUCCAAAAUUGUUAAAUUCUAAGUAGUGAUUUCAGGGCCAUAGCUACGUAUUUUAAUAGAAAUGAAAACAUAAAUGAAAAA
ensembl:lncRNA novel transcript, antisense to GRM7